GAGUUUGAUCCUGGCUCAGGACGAACGCUGGCGGCGCGCUUAACACAUGCAAGUCGAGCGAGAACCUGGCCUUCGGGCCUGGGGAAAGCGGCGAACGGGUGAGUAACACGUGGGUAACCCACCCUUGGUACCGGGAUAGCCCGGGGAAACCCGGAUUAAUACCGGAUGGCCCAACAGCUCUUCGGGGCGGUUGGAAAAGGUAGCUUCGGCCUCCGACCAAGGACGGGCCCGCGGCGGAUUAGCUUGUUGGUGGGGUAACGGCCUACCAAGGCGACGAUCCGUAGCUGGUCUGAGAGGACGAUCAGCCACACUGGGACUGAGACACGGCCCAGACUCCUACGGGAGGCAGCAGUGGGGAAUCUUGCGCAAUGGGCGAAAGCCUGACGCAGCGACGCCGCGUGGGGGAAGAAGGCUUUCGGGUUGUAAACCCCUUUCAGGAAGGACGAAGCUACUCGGGUUAAUAGCCCAGAGGGUGACGGUACUUCCAGAAGAAGCCCCGGCUAACUACGUGCCAGCAGCCGCCGU
rnacentral:rRNA from 1 species